GACGAACGCUGGCGGCGUGCUUAACACAUGCAAGUCGAACGGAAAGGCCCUGCUUUUUUGGCGUUCUCGAUGGGCGAACAGGUGAGUAACACGUGAGUAACCUGCUCUUGACUUUGGGGUAACUUCAUGUAACUGGGGCUAAUACCGGAUAGGAGCUCCUGCUGCAGGGUGGGGGUUGGAAAGUUGCGGCGGUUGGGGAUGGUCUGGGGGCUUAUCAGCUUGUUGGUGUGGUAGUGGCUUACCAAGGCUUUGACGGGUAGCCGGCAUGAGAGGGUGACCGGGCACAUUGCGACUGAGAGACGGCCCAGACGCCAACGGGAGGCAGCGGUGGGGAAUAUUGCACAAUGGGGGGAAGCGUGAUGCGGCAACGCCGCGUGCGGAAUGACGGGUUUCGGGUUGUAAACCGCUUUCGCCUGUGACGAAGCGUGAGUGACGGUAAUGGGUAAGGAAGCGACGGCUAACUACGUG
rnacentral:rRNA from 1 species